GCGCCUGUAGCUCAGCGGAUAGAGCGUCUGCCUCCGGAGCAGAAGGUCGCAGGUUCGAGUCCUACCAGGCGCGCCU
rnacentral:tRNA from 2 species